AAUGGCCUGAUUCAUAUCCAUCCAAAGUUGGGGGCGGCUGAGAUGGAAGACCGCAUGGCCUUUGUGUCUCUGUUGGAGGGGCUGCUGCAUCUUGACGGGGAUGAGAGGAUCUCUCCUCGUCAAGCUCUGGAGCUGCCCUUCAUUUCCAUGAGCCACCUGAGGGAGGACGUCCACAGCAGAGACUAUCUGACCACCUCGCAAGAAGCAA